CGCUCAGGUGGCCUAGUGGUUAGAACGUCUACCUUGGAUGCAGGAGGUAGUGGGUUAGAUCCCCGGUUGAGUCA